rnacentral:rRNA from 1 species
GAUGAACGCUGGCGGCGUGCUUAACACAUGCAAGUCGAACGAAGCACUUUGAUCGAUUUCUUCGGAUUGAAAUUUUAGUGACUGAGUGGCGGACGGGUGAGUAACGCGUGGGUAACCUGCCUCACACAGGGGGAUAACAGUUGGAAACGGCUGCUAAUACCGCAUAAGCGCACAGUACCGCAUGGUACAGUGUGAAAAACUCCGGUGGUGUGAGAUGGACCCGCGUCUGAUUAGCUAGUUGGCAGGGUAACGGCCUACCAAGGCGACGAUCAGUAGCCGACCUGAGAGGGUGACCGGCCACAUUGGGACUGAGACACGGCCCAAACUCCUACGGGAGCAGCAGUGGGGAAUAUUGGCACAAUGGGGGAAACCCUGAUGCAGCGACGCCGCGUGAGCGAAGAGUAUUUCGGUAUGUAAAGCUCUAUCAGCAGGGA